rnacentral:rRNA from 1 species
CCUACGGGUGGCAGCAGUGGGGAAUAUUGGGCAAUGGGCGCAAGCCUGACCCAGCAACGCCGCGUGAAGGAAGAAGGCUUUCGGGUUGUAAACUUCUUUUCUCAGGGACGAAGCAAGUGACGGUACCUGAGGAAUCAGCCACGGCUAACUACGUGCCAGCAGCCGCGGGAAUACGUAGGUGGCAAGCGUUAACCGGAUUUGCUGGGUGUAAAGGGCGUGUAGGCGGGGACGGAAGUCAGAUGUGAAAACCACGGGCGCAACCUGUGGCCUGCAUUUGAAACUGUGUUUCUUGAGUACUGGAGAGGCAGACGGAAUUCCUAGGGUAGCGGGGAAAUGCGUAGAUAUUAGGAGGAACACCAGUGGCGAAGGCGGUCUGCUGGACAGCAACUGACGCUGAGGCGCGAAAGCGUGGGGAGCAAACAGGAUUAGAUACCCGUGUAGUC